rnacentral:rRNA from 1 species
CCUACGGGCGGCAGCAGUGGGGAAUAUUGCACAAUGGGGGAAACCCUGAUGCAGCGACGCCGCGUGAGUGAAGAAGUAAUUCGUUAUGUAAAGCUCUAUCAGUAGGGAAGUAAAUGACGGUACCUGAGUAAGAAGCCCCGGCUAACUACGUGCCAGCAGCCGCGGUAAGACGUAGGGGGCAAGCGUUAUCCGGAUUUACUGGGCGUAAAGGGAGUGUAGAGGGGAGUGCAAGUCUGUGGUGAAAGGCGGGGGCUCAACCCCCGGACUGCCCUGGAAACUGUACGGCUGGAGUGCAGGUGAGGUAGGUGGAAUUCCUGGUGUAGCGGUGAAAUGCGUAGAUAUUAGGAGGAACACCGGUGGCGAAGGCAGCUUACUAGACUGUAACUGACGUUGAGGCUCGAAAGCGUGGGGAGCAAACAGGAUUAGAUACCCUUGUAGUC